rnacentral:rRNA from 1 species
AUUGCACGCUUGCGGCCGGCCUAACACAUGCAAGUCGCACGAGUGGCGGACGGGUGAGUACUGUCUGGGAAACUGCCUGCUGGAGGGGGAUAACUACUGUAAACGGUAGCUAAUACCGCAUACCAUCAGAUGUGCCCCGAUGGGAUUAGCUAGUUGGUGGGGUAACGGCUCACCCAGGCGACGAUCCCUCGCUGGUCUGAGAGGAUGACCAGCCACAAUGGAAAUGAGACACGGUCCAGACUCCGACGUGAGGAAGCAGUGGGGAAGAUUGCACAAUGGGAGCAAGCCUGAUGCAGCCAUGCCGCGUGUAUGAAGAAGGCCUUCGGGUUGUAAAGUACUUGCAGCGGGGAGGCGUUACCCGCAGAAGAAGCACUAGCGAAAUCCGUGCCAGCAGCCGCGGUAAUUC